AGCUGGUCCGAUGGCAGUGGGUUAUCAGAACUUAUUAACAUCAGUGUCACUAAAGUUGGUAUACCAUCCCCCACUGCUAAAUUUGACUGCUUAAA
ensembl:misc_RNA Y_RNA Y RNA